rnacentral:misc_RNA from 1 species
CACCCGCACACAUCUACACCUACACAGCAGGCGCAAGAUCGUCUGCCUUCCAUAGCGGAAGGAGCAACGCGCCGAGACCCACGGCGCUGUAGAGAGUCGAGGGCGUAAAAGCAGGGGUAGGGUGGAGGGGGUGCAGCGGCACACGCACGCGCACACGAUGCGUCACUUGCAACCACUCUCGAGCACGGCAGCGCCGGCGCCUGGCUCGAGUUUAGCGCACAUGAAGGCGCAGCAGCUCGCCCGCGAGGAGGAAGAGAAGCUGCGCGCUCGACGAGUCAAGGGCGUCAUCGUGCUCGUCGAGCAGUUCCUGCUGGAGCAGGGGUACCAACAAACUCUGCAGGCGCUCCAGCAGGAAAGCCGCAUCUCCCUCACUCAGUUCAGCGCCGCUGACAACAUCGACUUGCUGUCUGUUGUCCAGGAUUACGAGGAGUACUACGCCUUCAAAUGCCAGCGCGCGCCGAAGCUGUACCGCGUCCGCGGCGGCAGCAGCGAUGACGCCGACGGCGUUGGCAGCGUCGGCUCUGAAAGCGGAGAGCGGAUGCUCUCACGGACGCGCAAAGGCGCGCCUGCUCCUCGUGCCGCGACCUCGUCGUCAUCGCCAGCCUCGUUGUCCUCUGUAGGAAAGCCGCCGCCGCACCUGCGGCCAACGAACCUCGCGCGCGCGCUCAGCCAUGUGCAGGCGAACGGCGACAGCGGCUCAGCGAACGGCGACAAGCUCGCCGCGGCGCCCAACGGGGGCACCAGCGCGCUUGGGUUGUCUCUCCAGGGCGAGUCCGCUGCCGCCCACAACUCCGGGCGCGAAGGCGAGAAGGGUCGAAGAGGCAUUGGCAGGGAUGGUGAGGGCUCCGAUGAUGCUGCAGAGGACCCCCUCGGGCCCUUGAUGAGCCGCCGCAUACUGAAGCCGCUGCCGCCGUUUCCGACGAACGAGUUGAACGAGCUGGCCGCCACGAUCCUGCGCGAGAUUCUCGACGUCAACCCAUCCGUGCGUUGGCGCGACAUUGCCGACUUGGAAAGCGCCAAGCACCUCCUGCAAGAGGCCGUGGUGAUGCCGGUCAAGUACCCGGAGCUGUUCCAGGGCAUCCUGCGCCCGUGGAAAGGAAUUCUUCUCUUUGGCCCGCCCGGCACCGGCAAGACGCUCCUCGCCAAGGCCGUCGCGACGGAGUGCCGCACGACCUUCUUCAACAUAGCCGCCUCCUCCGUCGUGUCCAAGUGGCGCGGUGACUCGGAGAAGCUCGUCCGCAUGCUCUUCGACCUCGCCGUCCACUACGCGCCAAGCACUAUCUUUAUCGAUGAGAUCGACUCCUUGAUGUCCGCAAGGUCGAGCGACGGCGAGCACGAGGGGUCACGCCGCAUGAAGACGGAGCUGCUGACACAGAUGGAUGGCCUCUCCAAGCGGCGUGGCGGCGAGGUGGUGUUUGUGCUAGCGGCGAGCAACGUGCCAUGGGACCUCGACACGGCGAUGCUGCGCCGGCUGGAGAAGCGCAUCCUCGUUUCGCUUCCGACGCGCGACGCUCGCGUUCUCAUGUUCCGCCGCCUGCUGCCCAACUCCUUCGCAUCCGACGCGGACUAUGAGGCGUGCGCCGCGCUAACGGAGGGCAUGUCCGGUGCUGACAUCGACGUCGUCUGCCGUGAGGCCAUGAUGCGGCCGGUGCGGAAGCUCAUUUCUCAGCUUGAGGCUGCAGGCAACGACCGCAACGCGCACGUGCGGCUUCCGAGCGAGCCGCUGAAGCCGCCAGCCGCGACGCUCGAGGAUGUGCAAGCGAGUGUUGCGUGCACCCGCAGCAGUGUCCGGGCAGCAGACCUCGACAAGUACGAUGUGUGGACGCGCGAGCACGGCUCCGGGCUAUCCACUUAAGGCCACGAGGCGAAUAUAUAUAUAUAUAUGUUCGAAAAGGAAGUAAGGAUUUUGUAGAGAGACGGUAUCGAAGCUGCCUCGUCGGACGCGCACAGCCGCGCAGAUCUGCAUGCACCUCCCGCCCGCCCCUCCCGCCAAGGUCGACCUCCUCCCGUCUCUCUCCCGCCUCUGUCCUUCGUCCUUGCCAG